UCCAAUUACUCAAUUCGAUCUGUGAAAGACAUUGGGUUCAGGUAGAACUGCACGCACAUGGAACAAAGAUUCUGUUCCAUUCAUUGCAAAGACCUGCUUAUCAGUAUACCUUACUUGAAUAAAAAAUCUUGAUUAAAACAUUACGAAAAUUUAUAAGCCUUAUCAAGCGAAAACAGCAAAAUAAAAUCCAAGUCAAAAAAUUUUAUAGCAUGUACCAAAACCAAAAGUACGUGAUUCUGUAUCAGUUCAGGAAAGUUGAAUUUUUUUCAAUUCAAAUACCAUAUAAAAUUGCUGUUGUUUAAAGUGUUGGCUAUACAUACAUAUUACAUGUAUAUAUAAGUAUAUAUGUAUCACAAAGCUGGGGAUUUUUUUGGUUUCUACCUAAUUGUAUACUGGAAUUCCAGUCGGCCAGAUUCGAUUACUAUUUGCGAAUCUUAUUUAUCUGUUUUUGAAAGAUGGGAAAAAUGCGCAGUAAAUUUUUUUUUUUAUUUAUUUAUUUUUUUUUUAAGGGAAAAAACUCAAGUUACAGAGAAAAGUUUUAUUUAGUUUGAGAUGUGAUUUAGUUUGAUUUAUAAUAUGUCGGAUGAUAUUUAUUUGUAUUUCUUGUUAACUCAUGUAGUUAUGAAUUAAUUUGUCUUUUCCAUAAGAUUACCAACGGGCACGUUCCAAUGUCUCGUCAAAAUUUCAGCUGAGUUCAGCGAUGUUUUCAACUUGGACCCUAAUGUAACACGCUACCGCUUUAUAUUAUUCAGUUCCAGACUGCAUGUAGCGCUCUAUGAUUAAUAAUUGCGGUUGGUAUAUUUGGUUAUCAGAAAAUUUUGAUUUGGCUAUCUCAACUAAUAUCAUUACAUGUCUUUUUGAAUUGGUAACGGCACAAUUGUCUCAUCUAUUGUCUGGCAUUCGUUAGUCACAGCUUGUCAAACUGUACACAUGCCGGCGAAAACUUACCGAAAGAAGAAAACAAAAACAAACACGAGCUCCCGCUGAUGGUCGUCAGCAGCUUCCAGCAGAAACUUUGAACUUGACUCGUCCUUCCUGGAGGCUGGGUAUGUAGUCCAGCACGCGGUAAAAAGAAAGUGCACGUAAUUUUAUUAAAA